rnacentral:rRNA from 1 species
UACGUAGGGAGCAAGCGUUGUCCGGAAUCAUUGGGCGUAAAGCGCGCGUAGGUGGCUUCGUAAGUCCGUUGUGAAAGUCAAAGGCUCAACCUUUGAAAGCCGAUGGAUACUGCGGAGCUAGAGUACGGAAGAGGCGAGUGGAAUUCCUGGUGGUAGCGGUGGAAUGACGCAGAUAUCAGGAGGACACCAAUAGCGAAGGC